GUGGGGAAUUUUGGACAAUGGGCGCAAGCCUGAUCCAGCAAUGCCGCGUGCAGGAAGAAGGCCUUCGGGUUGUAAACUGCUUUUGUACGGAACGAAAAGGUCUGGGUUAAUACCCUGGGCUCAUGACGGUACCGUAAGAAUAAGCACCGGCUAACUACGUGCCAGCAGCCGCGGUAAUACGUAGGGUGCGAGCGUUAAUCGGAAUUACUGGGCGUAAAGCGUGCGCAGGCGGUUUUGUAAGACAGGCGUGAAAUCCCCGGGCUCAACCUGGGAAUGGCGCUUGUGACUGCAAAGCUGGAGUGCGGCAGAGGGGGAUGGAAUUCCGCGUGUAGCAGUGAAAUGCGUAGAUAUGUGGAGGAACACCGAUGGCGAAGGCAAUCCCCUGGGCCUGCACUGACGCUCAUGCACGAAAGCGUGGGGAGCAAACAGGAUUAGAAACCCCGGUAGUCC
rnacentral:rRNA from 1 species